rnacentral:rRNA from 1 species
AUUGAACGCUGGCGGCAGGCCUAACACAUGCAAGUCGAACGAGUGGCGGACGGGUGAGUAAUGACUGGGAAACUUCCUGAUGGAGGGGUAUAACUACUGGAAACGGUAGCUAAUACCGCAUACCAUCGGAUGUGCCCAGAUGGGAUUAGCUAGUGGGUGGGGUAAAGGCUCACCUAGGCGACGAUCCCUAGCUGGUUUGAGAGGAUGACCAGCCACACUGGAACUGAGACACGGUCCAGACUCCUACGGGAGUCAUCAGUGGGGAAUUUUGCACAAUGGGCGCAAGCCUGAUGCAGCCAUGCCGCGUGUAUGAUGAAGGCCUUCGGGUUGUAAAGUACUUUCAGCGGGGAGGCGUUACCCGCAGAAUAAGCACCGGCUAACUCCGUGCCAGCAGCCGCGGUAAUAC